rnacentral:rRNA from 1 species
CGCGUAGGUGGUAGUGUAAGUCUGGGGUGGAAUGCCGGGGCUUAACCCUGGAGUUGCCUUGGAAACUGCAUUAACUUGAGUCAGUGAGGGGAGGGUAGAAUUCCUGGUGUAGCGGUGAAAUGCGUAGAUAUCAGGAGGAAGGCCUGUGGCGAAGGCGGCCCUCUGGUGCUGGACUGACACUGAGGCGCGAAAGCGUGGGGAGCAAACAGGAUUAGAUACCCUGGUAGUCCACGCCCUAAACGGUGGGCACUAGGUGUAGGGCUCGUAAGGGUUCUGUGCCGAAGGGAACCAUUAAGUGCCCCGCCUGGGGAUACGGCCGCAAGGUUGAA